UGAGGCAGCAACGCCGCGUGAACGAAGAAGGCCUUCGGGUUGUAAAGUUCUUUCUGUGGGACGAAGCCAGUGACGGUACCGCAGGAAUAAGUUCCGGCUAACUACGUGCCAGCAGCCGCGGUAAAACGUAGGGGACAAGCGUUAUCCGGAUUUACUGGGCGUAAAGCGCGCGCAGGCGGCUUGGUAAGUUGGACGUGAAAGCUCCCGGCUUAACUGGGGAGAGGUCGUUCAAAACUGCGAGGCUAGAGGGUGAGAGAGGAGAGCGGAAUUCCCGGUGUAGUGGUGGAAUGCGUAGAUAUCGGGAGGAACACCAGUGGCGAAGGCGGCUCUCUGGCUCAUACCUGACGCUGAGGGGCGAAAGCGUGGGGAGCGAACGGGAUUAGAUACCCCGGUAGUCCACGCUGUAAACGAUGGAUACUAGGUGUAGGUGGUGAUUGAAACCAUCUGUGCCGAAGCAAACGCGAUAAGUAUCCCGCCUGGGGACUACGGCCGCAAGGUUA
rnacentral:rRNA from 1 species